AUAAGUAGGGUGCAAGCGUUAAUCGGAAUUACUGGGCGUAAAGCGUGCGCAGGCGGUUUUGUAAGACAGUGGUGAAGUCCCCGGGCUCAACCUGGGAACUGCCAUUGUGACUGCAAGGCUGGAGUGCGGCAGAGGGGGAUGGAAUUCCGCGUGUCGCAGUGAAAUGCGUUGUUAUGCGGAGGAACACCGAUGGCCAAGGCGAUCCACUGGGUCUGCACUGACGCUGCUGCUCUAAAGCGGGUGGAGCAAACAGGAUUAGAUACACUGGUAGUACACGCCCUAAACGAUGUCAACUGGUUGUUGGGGAUUUAUUUACUAAGUAACGAAGCUAACGCGUGAAUUUGACCGCCAGCACCGUGCGGCCGCAAGGUGAACACUCAAAUGAAUUGACGGGC
rnacentral:rRNA from 1 species